GAAAGAGGUCGUGAGGUCUGGCGCAUGUGCUCUUUGACAAGCACACAAGGACGGGGAAGAAGGAAGCAUGGAGUUCGAGCUGAGCGAGAUCGCGCACGAGGAUGGGGAUGAGCAUGGGCUGUCGAAGACGCUUUCGGGGCGUCGAGCGUCGAGCCUUGUGCAAGCGGAGGUGAGCGAUCACAUUGAUUUCGAGCUACCCUGCAAGAGUGAUAUUCAAAG
rnacentral:rRNA from 1 species